ensembl:lncRNA
AUGGAUCAGGCCGCCCUGGUGUGCCACCAGAACCAAAAAGCGAAAAGGCCCGAGUUUGGAGAAGCUAACGGCUGUGUGUUUGAUCGCAACGAGGGAUUUGGAAUUGACCCAGAGUCGUCAGAUCGUGACCAACACAGCCAGCCCAUGAGAGCCGGGUCCUCGGCCAGCCAAUCACGAACACGCCAGAUUCUCAAACCGACACCCACUUCCUGAUGUCUGGAGCUGGAAUGAGAAUCUGGAAAAGACACCGGAGGUAAGGAUGCAGGGAUUCGUUUCCAUUCAUUCACUCGUUUGUAAACAGCUUAUCCUUUUUUCUUUUCUCACAACCCUACAUCAACAGGUUUAACAAGGCCUUUUGUCGUACCGUCCGCGCUCCCCUCGCGUAAGACAAAAAGGUUAAUCAAUAACAUGGUUCAAAAUAAAGUUUAGUGAUUGUGCUUUUAAAACCA